GGAGGGGGCGCCGGGCCGGGCCGGGGGGGGGGGACGGCCGGCGCCGCCGGUAGGUGAGUGGGGGGGGGGGGGGGGCCGGGGGAAGAGGGCGUGCGGCUUCCGGGCGCGCACGAAUUUGCAGCCAGCUGGGUGCGGGUGAGGCGGCCCUGCCUGCGCCGCGCACAAUGCCCGCCGCGCCGCCCCGCGCAGGCAGCGCCGGCCGCGCGCCCCCUGCGCGCACGCACGCACGCACAUGGCAGAUGGGGGCCUGCGGCGGAGGAGGGGGCGAGCCGGCGGGAGCGUGGCGUGGGGGGAACGCGGAGGGCGGGGGGCAGAGGAGGGGAGAGGAGGAGGAAGAAGAGAAGGGGCGGGGGUGAAGGCCGAACAAUAUCCUGCCGAGCGCGCCGCGCCAGCGCAGCCCGCCCCCGCCCCUCCGCGCGGAGGCUGCGCGGGCCGGGCCGCGGCGGGCAGGUGCACGGCGGCGGCAGCGCGCUGCGGUGCGGAGUUCCCGCGCCGGGGAGGAGAGGGGGCGGCCGGCGCGCUCGGCGGGGGCAGCCCCGGGGGGGGGGGGGGGGGGCCGGCAGGCAGGCCACGUGGGGAGAAAUAAGUUCCCCCCCCCGCCUUGGUAUCAACAGAGGUGAAAGAAAAGCACCGGGCAGGCUGUAAAAGGGCGGCAAAGGCGGGGCGACGCAGUGUGCCCGUGUCCCCCCUCAGCGGAGGGCAUCGUCCGCACGAGAGCCCACCGCCAGCUUGCGCAGGGUGAGGCGGUGGGCGCCGCGGAUGGCGCAGUCGCCCGGCGGCAGCGCCUGGGGAAGGGCGACGCGUCGCUCCGCGCCCCUCUGACGGCGGAACGCCGCAGCCCCGCCGCGGUGCGGGACCCUACGGACCUGGCCCUCCACCGUGUCUGCGGACCGGGACCGAAAGCCACCCGUAGAAGGAAAGCCUGCUACAGUAAACUUCAGCAGUGAGCAAGACUGACUAAAGAAGAAAAUUGUGAAGGAUGAGAGAGUUUCAGCUGGCAGUAUGCUGCCUGGAGUACGAUGGAAGAAAAGGACACUGAAGAUAAUUUGAGAGAUGCAGAGCUGAUUAGAAUAGAGCAGUUAUUUACAAAUAUGAUUUGGAACAAGAUUUGGGAGUAAAACAUCACCUUAUAAAAAUGAUUGCCAGAUAUGACAAUAACAAAAAAACCCCAAACCAACCCCCCAAAACCAACAACAACAAAAGAUUAAAAUCUGUUCUAAAAUAACUUUUGCUUUGGUGUUCGCAAACCGUUCCCUUCAUGGCUAAAAAACCCUUAAAAUGUUCAGAUAGAAACAAAGUGAUUACUCCAAAAAGCAGAGACAGUGAAUUAAAGGAGCAGGGAGAUAACAAUCUGAUAAUACAGGAGCACAGAAGGCCUAAUAAUGAUAUUAUUAUGCACACUAACUAAAAACUGACAAACAAAUAUUCUGUUAAUUAUAUAAUCAUGCAUAUGCUUCCUAUGCUUGAGAUAAAUGAUUAUGGAAAAUAACUCUCUUCUUGAAACUGCAUAUAUGUAGUAAACCUUAUAAACUCCCUACAACAUGGAUUAAUCUAAUUCCCAUACGUCACUUAUGCCCGGUAAAGUAUUUACUACAGACUUGGAAGGCUGAGCGUGGAACCCUUGCUUUGACUAGAAAGCACGAAUUACUGAAGGCUGCUACAUCUUGACAUAUAGACAACAAUCAGAUAUCUCUUAUCAAUACCAAACUACUUGGAAUAAAUUCAAGAUACAGAUAUCUGAUUUUCAUUUGACCUAUUCCAAUUUGCACUUCACUAUGUCAACUUUGAUAUUAAAAUGUUCCACUAGAAUAAAGAUAUUUAUAAUAAAAACAUAUAUAAAGAACAGAAGAUGAAUAGAUAUUGUCAUGGAUACAUAUGCAGGCAAUCAUUUAAACAUGCGGCAACAGUAACAUCACAUUUUUCAUAGCUUCUAGUCAAACAUACAGCAGACAAAUAUAUGCUUAAUAAAGCUUAUUAAUCCUUAA